CAAACCUUCAAAUAGACUGAUUUAGUUUGGCUGAUUGUUUAUUCUUAUUCAUUGUGGAAUAGGAUAGCCAUAUGUAUUUAUUUUGCCCUCCAUCUUUUAAUUCUACAUAAAAGUACAUCAUUUUGUUAUUUAUUUACUAAUAAUACAAUCUCCAUUACUUAUCUUCUUUUAAUAUGAAAUAAAUCACCAGCAUCAUACCUUUAUUAAUUUUCCAUAUUGUUCAGUCAUCUAUUUGGAGUAAUUUUAUAAUCAAAGCAUUGGACUAUUGAGCAAAUUGUAAUGUCAUUUUAAUCUUAUUAUUUUUCUCAAAUGCUUUUAUUAAAUUUUAUGCAUAGCUGUUGGUUAUAGUGUAUAGUACAACCACCUUUAGGAUUAUUGGUGUUGGAGUAGUGACUAUAUUGCGUCACGGUUUCAUUCCCUUUUCGCUUUUGAACUUGUACCUAUGCCACAGCCUGCUCCAACCCCUCCUCUGAUGUGGUGUGGUGGGAGAAGGAAGAAGAGCAUGCAUGCUCUCUGUCUACAUCCAGCGUCCACACGGCUAGAUCGACGGGUCUAAACUAUGGAUGUAGUACAUUGUGUGUAUGAAUCAUGGUGAAUGUCAAGCCUACUUAGGUCAUACCCAAGUAAGGUAAGUAUAGAUGUAUAGUGCUUAUAAAAUGUGGUGCUCUAAUAUAACUUUGUUCCUCAGUUAGGAAUUAUGUUUUUCUAUAGUUAAAAUGCAUGUGUGUUGCUAUGAUGUAUAUAAGUGACAGGGAACAAAAAAUAAUGGAAGAAGGCCCUUUUGUUUCUAUUUUAUAAUUACUCAUCCAUCCUGAUGCUUGAGCAUUUUCUAACCUCCCCUGUUUUAUUCUUUUGGUGCUACUUGGAUGUUUCUAAGGUCUAUUUUUUUGUUUUAUUUCAGAAUACAGAAAGAAUAAGCUACUAGCAUUGUGCAAGUAAACCUACUGCGAUUGCAACUGCAAAAAAAAUCAUCACAUGGUGUGAGCUUAAAUAAAAGGAGCUAAACUGUUGUGUCAUGUUCAGAAUUGAUACUAGAAAAAAUAAUCUAAACUGCACAUUCUGAAACUAUCUAGACUCCUGCCUUUGGGGAAUUAGGUUGCUAAGCAUUACUUUGUAAAUAAAUGACAUGCUAACUUGUUGGUUCAGUUUAGAGCUAUAGGCAGGGGCUUGCAGUAGGGGGGAUAUCAUUGUGGCAGUUGAAAACCAAAGCAUUUAUUCAUGAGUGUAUGAUCUGGACUUCACUUUUCUGAAAGUAUGUUACGAUCCUGCUCUUGGAAUAAAUGGCAUGCUAAAACGUUGGUUGUUGUGGUGCAUUGCAAGCGACUUGACAAUUCUUCGUCUUUAACGACACGGAUCCGCGGCACAGUAGGAGAGGUGACGCCGGCCGGCAGCGCCUCACCGCCAGCUAUUGUUUGGCGCCGGCAAGGAGAAGGGCGCUUAGGAUCUGCUGCGUUGUGCAUGGCUGUUGAAGUUCAGCAUCGCCAUGAUGUGUAUUGUUUCUCUAUUUUCCUCAUAUUGCCAUGUUCCCAAUUUUACAAACUGCUAUGUGAUGCACAAUGGCCACGCCACGCACUGGUGAGAUUCAAGGUGCAGUCGAGCAAGAGUCAGUUCGAGGUGAGGUGUCUCACGUCGAUCUCCUGCUGCUCACCAGCGAGGCUCGCUGACGAGCGGCCAGAUCCACACGAGGUGGAUAUCACACACACGGCCCUCUCCCCUCCAUCCUUUCUCUUUCCUACAACUAUUAUGUCUUUGUACCUUGUUAUAUUGCUCUUUCAUCCAUGGUGAUAAAGAUGUUAACUCAGUUUGAUAAUGGAGUCACAGAUUUGUAUCUGAUAAUUCUUGGAAUUCAAAUUGUAACAUCCAUACUAAUUUGUUGGUUUGUCUCAACCAAUAAUUCAAUGUAAACCUAUUAACAUGAAUUUUAUGGGUAUACAUUGUCUCCUCCUAUGCCAAUUGAUUUUCUCCAGAUUAGUUGGACCAUAAUUUUCAAGAAGGUUACAAACCUAGCAAUGAAUGAGACUAUCAUUAUGAUUGAAGAUAGCUGACUGUGACAAUUGUUUCUUUUGAAGUUUCACUGUUUAUGGAGGUGACAAUGCUAGAUAUAUACAUCUGUAUCAUGGCACUUCUCCAGCAAACAAAAGCUUGGCAGCCAUCUACUUUCAGAGAGUUUGAAAACGUACUAUCACGCUAACUCACUUAUCCAGAUUAAUGGUAAGUGUGUGUUUUCUUGUAUACCGAUCUACAGAACUACAAUUGAGAUCUCUACCUCCUCUAUUUCCCUUUUGUCAUCUUUUCUGGCUUUUAUGCUACUACUCAAAAUGUUUGACUAUUCAAUUAUAAACGUCAUGCAGCAGUGCUGACUUUCUUACUCCCUUUAGACAUGAUUUCCCUGUCCAAACAUUCAGCUGAACCGACACUAGCAAUAUUGAUCAGCUGAACUUGCAGAAGGGGAGAGGGAGCAAGAGCCAAAAUUUCUUCAACUAGCUUCUCCUAAGUUGCCCACCUCUUUCCUCGGGCAUG